AUGCCCUACAUACCAGAUGACAUCACAAACCUACAGGCAAAGUACCAUAGAGAGAGCAAGUUGGCUGACAUAGAGGCCACAAUGGCCUACUUUGAUGAUAAAGCGAAGGAAGAUCCAGAUUUCUUCUACAGGAUAAGGUUAGACGAUGAGGACUGUGUCAGGAACAUGUAUUGGGUGGAUGGUGCUGCAAGGAGAGCCUACAAACAUUUCCGAGAUUGCAUUUCAUUCGACGCGACGUAUCUCACUGAUAUGUACAAGAUGCCAUGAGCUCCUUUCAUAGGAAUAAAUAACCACAAUCAGUCUUUGCAGUUCGGCUGCAGGCUCGUUCGGAAUGAAGACACAGAUGGGUAUGUUUGGCUGUUCAAGACCUUCUUGGAGUGCAUGGAUGGACUUGCUCCGAUGAACAUAAUAACAGACCAGGAUUUCAGCAUGCGUGCAGGCAUUGAGGAGGUCUUUCCGUUGGCAGUGCACAGGCACUGCAGGUGGCACAUUAUAAAGAAGGCUGAGGAGACGCUAGUACCAUUCUUUGCUGACCGUCCAGAGCUGCACAAGGCAUUCGAGCUGUGCGUGGACCACAGCUUGACGGUGGAGGAGUUUGAAAGGAGCUGGAUGGCCAUGAUUGAAACAUAUCAAGUCCAAGACAACAAGAUGCUUGCUAGCCUGUGGGAGAAGCGAAUGUACUGGGUGCCAGCCUACUUCAUGCAGUGCUUCUUCCCCUUUCUGCAGACUACGCAGCGCAGCGAGGGGUUCAAUGCUAUUUUGAAGCAGUACGUGAGCCCUGGCAGCUCAUUGCUAUAG
rnacentral:rRNA from 1 species